CACAAAAAAAGUAAUUAUAAUACUUAAAAAUUCUGUAAUAAUAAUAAUGAUGAGGAAUGACGAGUAGUGCGUUUAUAUGAUCCUAACCGUGAUCCGAUUCGAUACACACUUUAAGCAAAUAUGUAAUAGCUGUUCUGUUCAUAAGUAGUGCAAAGCGAGCAAAAACGGUGUAGCAAUUAACUUAAUAUACAUAAAUCUAACCUACAGUAAGAAGUUACUUAUCACAGCAGCGCGAAGGUCGUUACCGUUACCGAAACCGAUAUGUACUAUUAAUUACUACACAUACGCAUUAAUUGAGCGGAGACGACACAACGGCAAGAGCAAUUAUGUACUGUGUCAGCUACUACUUAUAACCAUGUAUACAUAUGUAUGUGUUUUAAAUUACAAAUACAAUUUUCUAAACAUAUUAUCUCUAGCGAACCUGCUCGCCACACUUGUCUGUCAUAUUAUUAAAAUUUGAUGUAAGUCGCAAGGAAACCAGAACCGAACGAACAUUUUUAGAAUUAGCGAACAACCGAAUCGUGUGUUUGACUUUUUGUGUGACGCAAGGGAUUUGUUUAGGCACCUAAUUAGUGUAAUAAUAAUGACGACAUAGCGAUGAAGUUUAAUAAAAAUGAUUGCGUGAGCGUAAAUUGAAAUGGAAAGGUUUGGGAUCAAUGGACAUAAGUACACGCCCUUAGUUUCGGUUUUCACUGUCGCUUGAGCCAAAAUAAAAUCAUUCUGUACCAAUGCCUAUAAA